AGUGCUCUGUACCGACUAUUGCCAAUGGCACUUCCAAUGCGACUUCAAUCUCAUAUUCCGAAACCGUUAAAUUUACUUGUAGUAGUGGCUUUUGGAUGCGCGGGUUGGCAACAUCAAACUGCACCUCUAAUGGUCUGGCUGCUGUACCCGAAUGUUUAGUAUACCGAGAGUUGCACGGUUAUUACUACUGCGCGUACGUUGAUGCAGUCAUUAAAACAACACAGGAAGGAUACCAACAUAAUUACUUGGACCCUGUUUGCCAAGGUCAUGAUGCGCGAUCUCUUCGGAAGGAAACGGUACAUCACACUGCUUGUGACGGAAUGAGAACACGUAUGGGACACUCCUGGACAACCGCUAGACAUCAUAAUACCCCUGGUGUGUAUGAUUACUACAGCACAGUUGGUUACGGCCUCAAUUGGGGUGCUAAACAACAUGUGGCCUGCGAAAUACCAUGCAACCGUACUGCUGGUGAUCGCAUUGCUGAUAUCUCUGUCGAAGGGAAGGUUACCUGUGAGUUCGGGUAUGAGUACCUGCAUAGUGAGCCAGUGUGCGAGGGGACAAGAAUGGUUAAACAAU